CCGCUGAACUUAAGCAUAUCAAUAAGCGGAGGAGAAGAAAUUAACUAAGAUUGCCCUAGUAACGGCGAGUGAAGCGGCAAAAGCCCAAACUGGAAAUCUUGUACACCCCGUGUGCACGAAUUGUAAUCUAAAGGAUGCUUGCUCACCGGGUGGUGGCGCAGAAGUGCCCUCGAACGGGCCGCCAGAGAGGGUGACAGCCCCGUAUGUGGUGCCACUACCUAACGAGUGGGUGUUCAAAGAGUCGGGUUGUUUUGUACUACAGCCCUAAGUGGGAGAUAAACUUCUUCUAAGGCUAAUAUAUAUGGGAAACCGAUAGCGAACAAGUACUGUGAAGGAAAGAUGAAAAGAACUUUGAAAAGAGAGUCAAAAGACUUGAAAUCGUUGAGAAGGAAGCGGUAGAAAUUUAUCCUUCGGUGGAGGUCGGUGUUAGUUGCCUAACCAUUGCUGGUCUUCAGUACUGCAUAAGGCUGGGGCUAGUACCUGGGGAAGUGGCUGGCUUGACCUUGCCGUGAGGCAAAAUGAGGUCGUGCAUCCGCAAAGGCUCUCUAAGCUUGGCUUGGUUCGCCAGGCAGUUUAGGGAUGUCGGCGGAGGUGCGGCCUGAGGAUGCUUUGUGCGAUUUUGCCAAAAUGGUUUUUACCGACCCGUCUUGAAACACGGACCAAGGAGUCUAACAUAUAUGCGAGUGUGCUGGUGUAGAAACCAACACGCGUAAUGAAGGUGAUUGAUGCCAAUCGCAAGAGGCAGCAUCGACCGACCAUGAUCCUCCGGUGAAAGGUUUGAGUAUGAGCAUAUCUGUUAGGACCCGAAAGAUGGUGAACUAUGCCUGAGUAGGGUGAAGCCAGGGGAAACUCUGGUGGAGGCUCGUAGCGUUUCUGACGUGCAAAUCGAUCGUCAAACUUGGGUAUAGGGGCGAAAGACUAAUCGAACCAUCUAGUAGCUGGUUCCCUCCGAAGUUUCCCUCAGGAUAGCUGGGACAAUAACGCAGUUUUAUUAGGUAAAGCGAAUGAUUAGAGGCAUCGGGGGUAAUAUGCCCUCGACCUAUUCUCAAACUCUAAAUUGGUAAGAACCCUGGCCUUUCUUAAUUGAGGCACAGGGGCUCAAUGCGUGUCCUUAGUGGGCCAUUUUUGGUAAGCAGAACUGGCGAUGAGGGUUGCUCCUAACGUCGAGUUAAGGUGCCUAACUGCACGCUCAUCAGAAACUACAAAGGGUGUUGGUUCAUAUAGACAGCAGGACGGUGGCCAUGAAGUCGACUGUGCUAAUCAGUA
rnacentral:rRNA from 1 species